GAUGAACGCUGGCGGCGUGCCUAAUACAUGCAAGUCGAGCGAACAGACGAGGAGCUUGCUCCUCUGACGUUAGCGGCGGACGGGCGAGUAACACGUGGAUAACCUACCUAUAAGACUGGGAUAACUGCGGGAAACCGGAGCUAAUACCGGAUAAUAUAUUGAACCGCAUGGUUCAAUAGUGAAAGACGGUUUUGCUGUCAAUUAUAGAUGGAUCCGCGCCGCAUUAGCUAGUUGGUAAGGUAACGGCUUACCAAGGCAACGAUGCGUAGCCGACCUGAGAGGGUGAUCGGCCUACCUGGAACGCAGACAUGGACCCGACGCCGAGGACAGGCACCAGUAGGGACUAUUCCACAAUUGGUGAAAGCCUGACGGAGCAACUCCGCGUCAGUGAUGAAGGUCUCCGGAGCGUAAUGCACUGUUAUUAGGGAAGAACAAACGUGUUAGAAACUAACGACUUCUUGACUGUACCUACUCAGAAAGCUUCGGCUAACUGCGUG
rnacentral:rRNA from 1 species